AAAGAGAAAAAACACAAAAACGUAAUAAAAACAGUCAGAGAGUUAGUGUAUUAAUCAGCUGAUGUGAACAGAAGUUGGUGUUUUGUAGCUGUUUUGUAAUAAGAGGUUUAAAUGGAUGGAGAGAGCAGUGAGUUUAGAGCAGCAGGGUUUUUGUACGGCCACUAAACCUGUUUGUAUCACUGUGGUGGACUUUCGGUGGAGGAACUAAACUAUCUGUGGGCCGCCUCACCCAGCCCAGUGUGACGGUAUUGCCCCCCUCCAGUAUGGAGCUGCAGCAGGAGAAGGUCACACUCAUGUGUGUGGCCUACAAGGGCUUCCCCUCGGACUGGAGGCUGAGCUGGAAGGUUGACGGGAGCAGCUGGAGCUCGGGGGAGAGCCGCAGCACCGCAGUUCUGCAGGCGGACGGCCUCUACAGCUGGAGCAGCACGCUGAGCCUCCACCCGGAGCAGUGGAGGAACAAGGUGGUGACCUGUGAGGCCUCCAAGGACAACCAACCACCUGUGGUGAGCACAGUGAACACAGAGCAGUGCUGAGAGCUGUGAGCUCACACACACGUUACUCAGCUCACCUUCUACUGCUUCACUGUGUGUUCCAUGUGGCCUUUACUGCUCAAAUGUCCCACUUUCAUCAUUUCAUCUGAGUUAUUGACAUGUGAGCUCACGCACUCCUCACUUUAACUCAGCUCUUCUUCUUAUCACCUAAAUAUGUGUUGAGUGUGUGUAUCACUGCAAUGUCCUGCUUUGAAGUAUUAAUAAAAGCCUUUUGAAUCAGUAAA